GACGAACGCUGGCGGCGUGCUUAACACAUGCAAGUCGAACGAUGAAGCCGGAGCUUGCUCUGGUGAAUUAGUGGCGAACGGGUGAGUAACACGUGAGUAACCUGCCCUUGACUCUGGGAUAACUGCUAGAAAUGGUAGCUAAUACCGGAUACGACCCUCGGAGGCAUCUCCAGGGGGUGGAAAGAAUUUCGGUCAAGGAUGGACUCGCGGCCUAUCAGCUAGUUGGCGAGGUAACGGCUCACCAAGGCGACGACGGGUAGCCGGCCUGAGAGGGUGACCGGCCACAGUGGGACUGAGUCACGGCCCAGACUCCUACGGGAGGCAGCAGUGGGGAAUAUUGCACAAUGGGCGCAAGCCUGAUGCAGCAACGCCGCGUGAGGGAUGACGGCCUUCGGGUUGUAAACCUCUUUUAGUAGGGAAGAAGCGAAAGUGACGGUACCUGCAGAAAAAGCACCGGCUAACUACGUGCCAGCCGCCGCAGUAA
rnacentral:rRNA from 1 species